CAGUAGCCGCGGUAAUACGGAGGGAGCUAGCGUUGUUCGGAAUUACUGGGCGUAAAGCGCGCGUAGGCGGUUACUCAAGUCAGAGGUGAAAGCCCGGGGCUCAACCCCGGAACUGCCUUUGAAACUAGGUGACUAGAAUCUUGGAGAGGUCAGUGGAAUUCCGAGUGUAGAGGUGAAAUUCGUAGAUAUUCGGAAGAACACCAGUGGCGAAGGCGACUGACUGGACAAGUGUUGACGCUGAGGUGCGAAAGCGUGGGGAGCAAACAGGAUUAGAUACCCCCGUAGUCCCUGUCUCUUAUAA
rnacentral:rRNA from 1 species